GUGCCAGCAGCUGCGGUAAUACGAAGGGGCUAGCGUUGUUCGGAAUUACUGGGCGUAAAGCGCACGUAGGCGGAUAUUUAAGUCAGGGGUGAAAUCCCGCAGCUCAACUGCGGAACUGCCUUUGAUACUGGGUAUCUUGAGUAUGGAAGAGGUAAGUGGAAUUGCGAGUGUAGAGGUGAAAUUCGUAGAUAUUCGCAGGAACACCAGUGGCGAAGGCGGCUUACUGGUCCAUUACUGACGCUGAGGUGCGAAAGCGUGGGAGCAAACAGGAUUAGAUACCCUGGUAGUCCACGCCGUAAACGAUGAAUGUUAGCCGUUGGCAAGCUUGCUUGUCGGUGGCGCAGCUAACGCAUUAAACAUUCCGCCUGGGAGUACGGUCGCAAGAUUAAAACGUCAAA
rnacentral:rRNA from 1 species